CCUACGGGUGGCAGCAGUGAGGAAUAUUGGUCAAUAGACGAGAGUCUGAACCAGCCAAGUAGCGUGAAGGAUGACUGCCCUAUGGGUUGUAAACUUCUUUUAUAUGGGAAUAAAACGUUCCACGUGUGGGAUUUUGUAUGUACCAUAUGAAUAAGGAUCGGCUAACUCCGUGCCAGCAGCCGCGGUAAUACGGAGGAUCCGAGCGUUAUCCGGAUUUAUUGGGUUUAAAGGGAGCGUAGGUGGAUUGUUAAGUCAGUUGUGAAAGUUUGCGGCUCAACCGUAAAAUUGCAGUUGAAACUGGCAGUCUUGAGUACAGUAGAGGUGGGCGGAAUUCGUGGUGUAGCGGUGAAAUGCUUAGAGAUCACGAAGAACUCCGAUUGCGAAGGCAGUUCACUGGACUGCAACUGACACUGAGGCUCGAAAGUGUGGGUAUCAAACAGGAUUAGAUACCCUUGUAGUC
rnacentral:rRNA from 1 species